GAUGAACGCUGGCGGCGUGCCUAAUACAUGCAAGUCGAGCGAACGGACGAGAAGCUUGCUUCUCUGAUGUUAGCGGCGGACGGGUGAGUAACACGUGGAUAACCUACCUAUAAGACUGGGAUAACUUCGGGAAACCGUAGCUAAUACCGGAUAAUAUUUUGAACCGCAUGGUUCAAAAGUGAAAGACGGUCUUGCUGUCACUUAUAGAUGGAUCCGCGCUGCAUUAGCUAGUUGGUAAGGUAACGGCUUACCAAGGCAACGAUGCAUAGCCGACCUGAGAGGGUGAUCGGCCACACUGGAACUGAGACACGGUCCAGACUCCUACGGGAGGCAGCAGUAGGGAAUCUUCCGCAAUGGGCGAAAGCCUGACGGAGCAACGCCGCGCGAGUGGUGAAGGUCUUCGGAUCGUAAAACUCUGUUAUUAGGGAAGAACAUAUGUGUAAGUAACUGUGCACAUCUUGACGGUACCUAAUCAGAAAGCCACGGCUAACUACGUG
rnacentral:rRNA from 1 species